CCUACGGGGGGCAGCAGUGAGGAAUAUUGGUCAAUGGGCGGGAGCCUGAACCAGCCAAGUCGCGUGAGGGAAGACGGUCCUAUGGAUUGUAAACCUCUUUAGGCGGGGAGCAAGGCCGGGCACGUGUGCCCGGAGGGAGAGGACCCGCAGAAGAAGCAGCGGCGAACUCCGUGCCAGCAGCCGCGGUAAUACGGAGGAUGCGAGCGUUCGCCGGAUUUAUUGGGUUUAAUGGGUGCGUAGGCGGCUUGAUAAGUUAGAGGUGAAAUGUCCGAGCUUAACUCGGGAACUGCCUCUCAUACUGUUGAUCUAGCGCGUAGCUGCGGUAGGCGGACUGUCUGGUGUAGCGGUGACAUGCUUAGAGCUCAUACAGAACACCGAUUGCGAAGGCAGCUUACCACUCUAUAUCUGACGUUGAGGCAC
rnacentral:rRNA from 1 species